rnacentral:rRNA from 1 species
AUUGAACGCUGGCGGCAGGCCUAACACACGCAAGUCGAGCGGUUGAAGGGAGCUUGCUCCCUGAUUCAGCGGCGGACGGGUGAGUAAUGCCUAGGAAUCUGCCUAUUAGUGGGGGACAACGUUUCGAAAGGAACGCUAAUACCGCAUACGUCCUACGGGAGAAAGCAGGGGACCUUCGGGCCUUGCGCUAAUAGAUGAGCCUAGGUCGGAUUAGCUAGUUGGUGAGGUAAUGGCUCACCAAGGCGACGAUCCGUAACUGGUCUGAGAGGAUGAUCAGUCACACUGGAACUGAGACACGGUCCAAACUCCUACGGGAGGCAGCAGUGGGGAAUAUUGGACAAUGGGCGAAAGCCUGAUCCAGCCAUGCCGCGUGUGUGAAGAAGGUCUUCGGAUUGUAAAGCACUUUAAGUUGGGAGGAAGGGUUGUAGAUUAAUACUCUGCAAUUUUGACGUUACCGACAGAAUAAGCACCGGCUAACUCUGUGCCAGCCGCCGCCGUAAUAC